rnacentral:lncRNA from 1 species
AGGUGAUGGUGGUAGAGGUGAUGGUGGUGGUGGAGGUGAUGGUGGUGAUGGAGGUGGUGGUAUAUGUGCACAUAAGUUCAGUUGUCCAAGGAGCCCAGAUGGUGUUAUAGAUCCCCUGGAGCUGAAUUUAUAGGUGUUUGUGAACUGCCUGACACAUGCUGGGAAUUAAACUCAGGUCCUCUGCAGGAGCAAUAUGCACUUUUAACUGUGGAGCCACCUCUCCAGCACUAGCUUCAACUUCUUAAUACUUGAACCUGAAACUAUGUCAUAGAGCUGAAUGUGACCGGCAAGAGGAGGCAUGUGCCUCAAUGUCAACAAGGAUGGGAGCAGAUGGGAGAUGGCCUGUUUAAAGGCAGCAGCGGGAGAACUGUGAACCAUCGCUCUGCUUGUAUCCCACCAAGAUUAGCCAACUGGUCAACUGACAGGAUCAGAAGACACACAAUCCCCUUCCCCUCCUCCCUUUGCAGGUAAAACUAAGUGCAAACAGAAAUCCUGAAGUGAGGCUCUUGUGACCUCUCAGACCCUGCCCUGCUGCCUCUGAAGCUCAGAGCUUCACAAAUGAGUGCACUCAGCUAGAAUUGGUCUGUAGCUCCCAUGCACAC